AAACUUUUCUUUCCCCUGUGGUCAUUAAAGGGCUCAAGUAAUGAUGAUGCUAUCUCCAACAUCCAGCAUCUAGAGGAUUUCAAAGCUUAACAACUUCAGUAAACCUGUAAGAAGAAAGGACAUAUUAGGAUGAGCGUGAGAGACUUUCAUGGGCCAAGGGUAAAUGGCUCAGUAGGUGCUUGUGUUGGUUACUUUUCUCCUGCUGGGACAGAACACCGUGACCAAGGCAACGUAACAGCAGAAAGAGCAUUUUGUUUCGUGGUUCCAGAGGGAUAGAGUCCACCAUCCCGGCAUAGCAGCAAGUGGCAGCUCGAGUACCAAUAUCUGCAGCUGUUUCCGGAAUCAACCCCCACAGCUGUUGCAUUGGACCAUCUUACUCUGUUUCAUCAAUUAACAUACUCAAAAAUGAUAAUAACUCAUGACAGUAUGCUUAAGAACAUUCCUUUCCAGUGUGAAAGAGAAGAGCUAUUACUAAAUUUCCAACCAUGACUUCCAGUUGCAUUAUCUUAGUGUCAACAAGUCUUGGGACAGGACCAGAAAUUUUAGGAUAAUUCUGAAAUGAAUUCUCUUAGAAGGAUAUUUACACAUUCAGUCAAAUAUCCAAGAACUUUAAAAUAGUGAUUGUGAAAAUAUUUUCAUGACACAAUAAAGUCAUAAAAUUUUAUUGAUCAUGUUGAGUUUAAAAUAGCGCCCAUUUCCUCAUUAAUAAAGUGUCUAUUUU